UACAUGGGGGUGCAAACGUUGCUCGGAAUUAUUGGGCGUAAAGCGCACGUAGGCGGCUUUGUAAGUUAGAGGUGAAAGCCCAGGGCUUAACCCUGGAAUUGCCUUUAAGACUGCAUCGCUAGAAUUGUGGAGAGGUAAGUGGAAUUCCGAGUGUAGAGGUGAAAUUCGUAGAUAUUCGGAAGAACACCAGUGGCGAAGGCGACUUACUGGACACAUAUUGACGCUGAGGUGCGAAAGCGUGGGGAGCAAACAGG
rnacentral:rRNA from 1 species